rnacentral:rRNA from 1 species
UUGGAGGGCAAGUCUGGUGCCAGCAGCCGCGGUAAUUCCAGCUCCAAUAGCGUAUAUUAAAGUUGUUGCAGUUAAAAAGCUCGUAGUUGAAUUUCGGGAUCAGAGUGUCGGUCGUGCCUCGGUACGCACUGGUAUUAUUGGUUCCUACCUUCUGAAGAACCGCGAUGUCAUUAAUUUGGUGUCGUGGGGAAUCAGGACUGUUACUUUGAAAAAAUUAGAGUGUUUAAAGCAGGCUUACGCUUGAAUACAUUAGCAUGGAAUAACGAAAUAGGACGUUUGAUUCUAUUUUGUUGGUUUCUAGGAUCGACGUAAUGAUUAAUAGGGAUAGUUGGGGGCAUUAGUAUUCAAUUGUCAGAGGUGAAAUUCUUGGAUUUAUUGAAGACUAACUACUGCGAAAGCAUUCGCCAAGGAUGUUUUCAUUAAUCAAGAACGAAAGUUAGGGGAUCGAAGACGAUCAGAUACCGUCGUAGUCUUAGCCAUAAACUAUGCCGACUAGGAAUCAGACGAUGUUAAUUUUUUACUGACUCGUUUGGCACCUUACGGGAAACCAAAGUGUUUGGGUUC